ACGUACCUACGGGACGCAGCAGUGAGGAAUAUUGGUCAAUGGGCGGAAGCCUGAACCAGCCAAGUCGCGUGAGGGAAUAAGGCCCUACGGGUCGUAAACCUCUUUUGCCGGGGAGCAAGGGCCGGGACGCGUCCCGGCCCGGAGAGUACCCGGAGAAAAAGCAUCGGCUAACUCCGUGCCAGCAGCCGCGGUAAUACGUAGGGGGCAAGCGUUAUCCGGAAUUACUGGGUGUAAAGGGUGAGUAGGCGGCAUGGUAAGCCAGAUGUGAAAGCCUUGGGCUUAACCCGAGGAUUGCAUUUGGAACU
rnacentral:rRNA from 1 species